GAAUGGGAAUUUGGAAACUGUUGGCCUUUGCCAUAGGAAAACAAGGAGAGCAUCUGUGAGUCCUAGAGUCUAGCUCUGUCACCCAGGCUGGAGUGUACUGGUGUGAUCUCGGCUCACUGCAACCUCCUCCUCCUGGGUUCAAGAGAUUCUCCUGCUUCAGCCUCCCGAGUAGCUGGGACUACUGGCGCAUGCCACCACGACUGGCUAAUUUUUGUAUUUUUAGUAGAGAUGGGGUUUCACCAUCUUGGCCAGGCUGGUCUCGAACUCCUGACCUCAGGUGAUCCACCCGUCUCGGCCUCCUAAAGUGCUGGGAUUACAGGCGUGAGCCACCGUGCCCAGCCACCAGCAGUAAAUUUUUGAGGAACUUAAACUACCAGCCUUAUCUUGGUAGAUAUCCCAUCGUCUCAACCUUGAUGAGCCACAGGCAUUUUGUUGUUACUGUUAUUUGAAUUUUUAUAAUCCAAGCCAUUAAAGAGACAAGUCUGGUCAGCUUAUUAUAUGGUAUCAACAAUUGGCUCAAAUGGGAAGAGCAGUUGUUGUAGACUGAAUUGUGUCUCCCCCAAAUCCAUAUGUUGAAACUUUAACACCCAAUAUGACUG
rnacentral:lncRNA from 1 species